AGAGUUUGAUCCUAGCUCAGGAUGAACGCUGGCGGCGUGGAUAAGGCAUGCAAGUCGAGUGGGUUUAGACCCACGGCGAACGAGGUAGUAACACGUAGAUACAUACCCCCGAGUCAGGAAUAAUUCCGCGAAAGCGGAGCUAAUACUUGAUGGUCUCGCGAGAGUAAAGAUUUAUCGCUCGGGGAAUGGUCUGCGGGAUAUCAGCUAGUUGGUAGGGUAAUGGCCUACCAAGGCAAUGACGUCUAGGGGAGCUGAGAGGCUGACCCCCACCGAUGGAACUGAGAUACGGUCCAUACACCUACGGGUGGCCGCAGUCGAGAAUCUUCCGCAAUGGACGAAAGUCUGACGGAGCGACGCCGCGUGAAUGAUGAAGUGCUUCGGCACGUAAAAUUCUUUUAUAGGGGAGAAAGUUUAUUGAUAGUACCCUACGAAUAAGAGGCUACAAACUCUGUGCCAGCAGUAGCGGUAAUACAGAGGCCUCAAGCGUUAUCCGGAAUUACUGGGCGUAAAGGGUGUGUAGGUGGUUUAGUUAGUCUUCUGUUAAAUUCUUCGGCUUAACCGGGGGCAUGCGGAGGAAACGGCUAAACUAGAGGAUACGAGGGGUGCAUGGAACUCAUGGAGUAGGGGUGAAAUCCGUUGAUAUCAUGAGGAACACCAAAAGCGAAGGCAGUGCACUAGCGUACUCCUGACACUCAAACACGAAAGCGUGGGUAGCGAAUGGGAUUAGAUACCCCAGUAGUCCACGCCCUAAACGAUCCUAUCUGGCUUUUCGGAGUAUCGACCCUCUGAGAGGCGAAGCUAACGCGUUAAGAUAGGCGCCUGGGUAGUACGGCCGCAAGGCUAAAACUCAAAGGAAUAGACGGGGACUUGCACAAGCAGUGGAUUAUGUGGUUCAAUUCGAUGGUAAACGAAAAACCUUACCCGGGUUUGAAACCUAGCUGAAUACUUUGGGAAACCUUAGUAGCCCUCACGGGCAGUUAGGCAGGUGUUGCAUGGCCGUCGUCAGUUCGUGGUUUGAAUUGUUCCCUUAAGUGGGGUAACGAACGCAACCCUCGUUGUCUGUUACACGUUGUCAGGCGAGACUGCCCCCGACUUAGUGCGCUAAGGAAACUUAGUUCAUUGAGUCGGGGGAGGAAGGCGAGGAUAACGCCAGGUCAGCAUGACCCUUUGAUAUCCGGGGCUACACACAUAAUACAAUCGCAUAUACAACGCGUCGCGACGGGGUAACCCUGAGCUAAUCGUAAUAAAGUAUGCGCCAGUUCGGAUUGGGGGCUGCAACUCGACCCCAUGAAGCCGGAAUUGCUAGUAAUCGCGGGUCAGCUAUACCGCGGUGAAUACGUUCUCAAGUCUUGUACUCACCGCCCGUCAACUCAAGGGAGCCGGGGGUACCCGAAGUCCGUUUUAACGGCCUAAGGUAAAUUCGGUGACAGGGAGUAAGUCGUAACAAGGCACGGGUAGCGGAAGCUGCUCGUG
rnacentral:rRNA from 1 species